GUUAAUUGUUUGAAACUGAACUUUUUACAUUAUUAUUAGUUGUAGGGUAACGGAGUGAUAGAUAUGCUGUAAAAAAAAUGUCCAUUUCUGUCUUCCCUAGGUAUUGCAUACCUUUUUGCCAAAGCAUAUCUACUAUCCAAAAAGCCAAUCUAUCUGGAUUCUUGUAUCCGAUGUGGAGAGUUAACCUGGCAGAAAGGCUUGUUGAAGAAAGGACCUGGAAUUUGUCAUGGAGUUGCUGGCAGUGCCUAUGUAUUUUUAUUACUUUACAGAAUUACUGGUAACUCCAAAUACAUUUACAGAGCACAAAGGUUAGUAAUCUUACAUGAUGGAUGCAGAGAUGGAUGCAGUCAUCAUAUAGCUAUAGAGCAAGAUUUCAAGUACAAAUGGGCAUAACAUAUUUGAAUAGUGUGUGCAACUAGGAAUUGUAUUCCCUUAAAGAAGAACAUUAGGUAGAUUUAGCAAUGUGUUAUUAUCUGAAAAGUGAUGCAUAAUGUGAAAUCGCAGGAUAUCACUUCCUCCGUGCCGGCAGAUACUGCAGAGGCCUGGUCAGGCUCUUAAAGGGCCGGUGCACCUGACUGGGCCCCUAUUCAGUAAUAAUACUCAUCGGGUGAGGAAUCAGGGGGCAUUUGUUGAGGGCAUUUUAUUUAUAAAAUAUUUUACCAGGAUGGAUACAUUGAGGUUUCUCUCAUUUUCAAGUAUGUCCUGGGUCCACAACACAUUGCAUUGUCACAAUAGGAUACAAUAUUACAAAAUUUUAAUAUACAAACAAUAUAUAUAUAUAUAUAUAUAUAUAUAUAUGAAACAUAUACACAUACAUACAUACACACACACAUAUAUAAAUUUAAACAUACGCACAUAUAUAAAUUUAAUACAUAACAUGUAAUAAAUAUAUUCAAUCAUGACAGGUGCAUUCUGUGCUGAGGUAUAUUGCCAUAGAUAUCUUAAAAGAUUUUAGAUUGAAUGAAGAUUUGACUGUGUCCCUGAGGUUAUUCCAUAAUUGCGGUGCUCUGUAAGAAAAUGAGGAUCGAGCCACUUUAUUUUUGUAUUACGGUAUUCUAAAUAUCAUGCUAGUACUGGAUCGGAGGUUAUAGGAGGUGGGAACAGCUGGGGAUUGCAUUCUACACAGGUAGGUUGGGAGCUUCCCAGAAAUGAUUUUAUGCACAAGGCUGGAAAGAUGAAGGGUGCGUCGGGAUUCCAGCGAUAGCCAGUUUAGCUGUUUUAAUAUGUCACAGUGGUGGGUAAAGUAAUUACAUUCCAGUACCAAGCGGCAGAAUGAAUUAUAUAACGUUUUAAGUUUAAGGUGGGUUUGCGGUGUGGGUGCAUACACUACAUUUCUAUAAUCAAUGACCGGCAUUAGCAUUUGUUGCACUAUCAGUUUCCUUACUGUAGGGCUUAGGCAGGAUUUGUUUCUGUACAGAGCACCUAGUUUUGGGUAAAGUUUUGAAAAGAUUUUUUCAAUGUGAAGGCCAAAGGAUAGAUAGGGGUCUAGCAACAUACCUAGAUAUUUAAAAGAGCAGACUGCUGUCAGUUUGCUAUUUGAAUUUGUUCUGAUACACAUUUGUGAUUUUGUAGUUUACGUUAUUUAGGUACAGUUCCAAAGAUCAUUGUAACAGUUUUGUCAGUGUUUAGGAAGAGUUUGUUAUCCGCUAUCCACUUUUCUGUCUCUGUGAAUUGGUUUUGGAGCACAGCCUCAAGCUGCGGUAGAUUGGAUUUACUAGCGUAGAUUACAGUUUCGUCUGCAUACAUUUAUGACAUAUAAUAUCCUGAAAAUCAAACACAAACAAUCUGACAUACAUUGUAUGUCAGUGUGUGAUUUCUGGGAUAUAACAUAUGGUAUGCAGGUGUCAGGGAGUCUCCUGGAACUAUCGGGAGACUUGGGAUGUCUGAUAAUCUGUGCAUGAGGGCCUGUGUACAAAGUGUGUAUGAGGGUCUGUGUAUGAAGGCCUGCUAUUAGUGCGAGAGCCUGUAUAUAAUGUGAUUAUGUGAGCCAGUGAGGAAAUUGUUGGUGAGUGGGUAAAUUAAUGUGUCUGCAUUGGUAUAGGUUGGAUGCAGGGGGUCUAUGUGAAUGUGUGGAUUUGUAAGUCAAUAUGACUAAGUGGUAAUGGUGUGUGAACAGGUAGGUGGUGGAUAAGAUCUGACAGGGUGGUUAUUGAUAGGCAUGUUACUGGGUGGGUGAAUGUGACAUGGUUGGUUAAUAUAUGUCACUGAGUGGGUGGGGUGAAGGUGAAUGUAACUAAAUGGAGGCUGGUGGGAAAGACAACAAGGGUAUACCUCUAGCUGCAUUAGGAUGUGACUGGGUACACCUUGAGCUGACGCCAAUAUUUUCAUGAUACCUUCACAUGACAUCUUCUACUCUCUAAAUGUAGAAACAUGCUAUGUCAUCAUAAAAAUGUUGCAUUAAUAACCUCAUCGGACUAAUCUUAUUGAUUUUUUUGAUUGGGUAACUAAAAUUAUAGAUCAGGGUGGUGCAGUAGACAUUGCUAACCUAGAUUUCAGUAAGGCUUUUGACACUGUUGCACAUAGACGGCUUAUCAAUAAACUGCAAUCUUUAAGUUUGGAUUCCAAUAUUGUUGAAUGGUUAAGGCAGUGGCUGAGUGACAGGAAACAGAGGGUUGUAGUCAAUGGAAUUUAUUCGAAGCCUGGACUUGUCACCAGUGGGGUACCUCAGGGAUCUGUACUUGGACCCAUUCUCUUUAAUAUUUUUAUUAGUGAUAUUGCAGAAUGUCUUGAUGAUAAGGUAUGUCUUUUUGCUGAUGAUACUAAGAUAUGUAACAUAGUUGAUGUUCCAGGAGGGAUAAGCCAAAUGGCAAAUGAUUUAGGUAAACUAGAAAAAUGGUCAGAAUUGUGGCAACUGACAUUUAAUGUGGAUAAGUGCAAGAUAAUGCAUCUUGGACGUAAAAACCCAAGGGCAGAGUACAGAAUAUUUGAUAGAGUCCUAACCUCAACAUAUGAGGAAAGGGAUUUAGGGGUGAUUAUUUCUGAUGACUUAAAGGUAGGCAGACAAUGUAAUAGAGCAGCAGGAAAUGCUAGCAGAAUGCUUGGUUGUAUAGGGAGAGGUAUUAGCAGUAGAAAGAGGGAAGUGCUCAUGCCAUUGUACAGAACACUGGUGAGACCUCACUUGGAGUAUUGUACACAGUACUGGAGACCGUAUCUUCAGAAGGAUAUUGAUACCUUAGAGAGGGUUCAGAGAAGGGCUACUAAACUGGUUCAUGGAUUGCGGGAUAAAACUUACCAGGAAAGGUUAAAGGAUCUUAACAUGUAUAGCUUGGAGGAAAGACGAGACAGGGGGGAUAUGAUAGAAACAUUUAAAUACAUAAAGGGAAUCAACACAGUAAAGGAGGAGACUAUAUUUAAAAGAAGAAAAACUACCACAACAAGAGGACAUAGUCUUAAAUUAGAGGGACAAAGGUUUAAAAAUAAUAUCAGGAAGUAUUACUUUACUGAGAGGGUAGUGGAUGCAUGGAAUAGCCUUCCAGCUGAAGUGGUAGAGGUUAACACAGUAAAGGAGUUUAAGCAUGCGUGGGAUAGGCAUAAGGCUAUCCUAACUAUAAGAUAAGACCAGGGACUAAUGAAAGUAUUUAGAAAAUUGGGCAGACUAGAUGGGCUGAAUGGUUCUCAUCUGCCGUCACAUUCUAUGUUUCUAUGUAUGGUUAAUCAACAAAAACCUGUGCUAACAUUGUUAAACAUUAUUUAGAAAUAUUUUUAGUUGUUAAUACUGAUCUCUGCAUUAAACCAUUUGCUACUCUAUUGUACAUAAUUUGUAGAUUUCAUGAUAAGAAGCCUAUGGUCCCUGCUAGAAGAUUUGAGACACUAGUGGUACAGAACAAUGAUUUAUAUCAGGGGUGCCCAAAAGGUAGAUCCCCAGAUGUACAACUAUAACUCCCAUGAUGCUUUGUAUACCUUUAAAAUGACAAAGCACCAUGGAAGCUUAAGUUUUAAAACAUCUGGGGAUCUACCUUUUGGACACCCCUGUUUAGAGAAGUCUCUAUAAGUGGUAAAAUAUUAAGGUAAAAUUAGGAUAUAUUGGCAAUUUGUGAAGAAAGGAUAUGCUUGCAAACAGUAUACAACAGCCAAUAAUGAGAAUUAUGAACAAACCAAUGCAAUCAGUCAGUAUUCUUUUACUUGAAUUCAUGGUUGUUAAAGUGAAAGACUCACAUUUGAUGACGAUGACUCUUCAGUAAUCAUGAAACAAAUUUUAUCAUGUAAAUGAUAGUAGUUAACUAUACUACCAAAAUCAUUUUUUUUAUUUCUUUGUAAGCAUUACUUUAAGUAACCUAAUUAUGUAUAUUCUUUAGUUAUUUAUUUACAUAUUUAAUAAUAAUAAAAUAAUAAUAUUUUUUUAUUUUUUCUAGGUUUGCAGAAUUCCUUUUUUCAGACAAAUUCCGUGUUGGAUCCUGUACUGUUGAAAACAUUUACAGUCUCUAUGAAGGCCUUGCAGGGACAGUAUGUUUUUUGGUUGAUUUGCUGCAACCUAACCAGGCAGAGUUUCCUCUUUUUAGUGUCUUUGUCUAAAGCCAUUGUGUGCUAUGAGGGGGAUUUUGCUACGAACAAACAUGCCUUGUAACAUUUAAUCCUAAACAAUCCAAG